GGGCGAACAGGACACCUCCGCUACGCGUCGGUGUCCUGUUCGCCCUGUCGGGGCU
rnacentral:pre_miRNA from 1 species